rnacentral:sRNA from 1 species
AAAAAACCCAAACAGGUCGUGCUCAGUCGCAUGCGAGAUUGAUGAAUAUGGCCACAUGUGCAAGGAAUCGUGCACAGACAAAUGUUUAGGGGAAGAUUGCAUUGACAGGGUCUACGGGACGUGUCCAAUUAUAACGACGUUUAUGCAAUACUACCACUACAUGUUUUUAUUUUUACCAUUUGGGAUCCUGUUUUUCUUAAGGCAAUUUACAGGCAUGAUGGCCGGAAAUCCUUGGCAAGAUUUUUUUUACCCGCCGCAACGUUAGUGACAUCUCAGGAAAGACGAUACUAGAUCUACAAUGCAUUUGCUGCGCUCCGCAGCAUGUGAAACCCCCCUUAAAGAUUUUAAAUGCCAUACUAUAUGAAAGAGAGAGAUAUUGGAGAAAAAGAUGCCAAGAUAUUUCUUUUAAAAACUGUUCUUUGAGUUUGAGAGUUUCAAGCCAGGAUGAGAUCAAACCACAGACUUUAUUUUUUAAAUGAAUCAUGUGUCUGAUUUUAAAAUAAAAUAAAAGAU